rnacentral:lncRNA from 12 species
UUCUCACCAUGAAAUGAGUUCCUUGGUUAGACAUGUAAUGAUGAAUUAAGCAUUUCAUAAUUCCACAGGUGGUGUUGUUGACAGAAACAUUGUAAGCAGAGAAGGUGAAUCAAUCCAUGGAGUAUCCCUAUCACACUGGAUGAAGGUCAAAAAUGUUAGGGCAUCUUGUCCUCUCAGCCCCCAAAGGAAGAUUUGCAACCAGGAUGGAUGAGCUGGGAAUCUGAGCGAGAAUAAGACUUUAAAGAAUGUUCUCAAUGUGAUUGAGGCCGAAGAGAAGCAGAUUUCUCACCCCCAUGAGGUAGGGUUCCUUUCUAAUCCCUCUACCACGCACUGUUCUUCAGACCCUAUCCCCCCAC